rnacentral:rRNA from 1 species
UACGUAGGGGGCUAGCGUUGUCCGGAAUCAUUGGGCGUAAAGAGCGCGUAGGCGGCCAGAUAAGUCCGGUGUGAAAGUCACAGGCUCAACCUGUGAAUGCCGCUGGAAACUGUCUGGCUAGAGUCCGGAAGGGGCGAGUGGAACUCCUGGUGUAGCGGUGGAAUGCGCAGAUAUCAGGAGGAACACCGGUGGCGAAGGCGGGUCUCUGGGCCGAUACUGACGCUGAGGAGCGAAAGCGUGGGGAGCAAACAGG